ensembl:lncRNA
GGUGAAGGUAGUGAGCCCUGGGCAAAGUCAGGGAAAAGAAAACAAAAGCACAUAAAAGAGAGUUUGAGGUCAGGAUCACAAGAUUUGAGUCUAGGAGCCCCAAGAUUUGCUUUCUCUUUGCCAAGUCCACUUUUGAGUGAUUCUGUCAUUUGGUGCAACAUUUUUUUUUUUUUUUGCAACAUUUUUUUUUUAAAUGCUGUUUAAUUUCCUCAGUUAUAAAAUGCAGACUUCACUACAUGUUUCCUUGAAGUUUUGGGGAGGACUGAAGAGACAAAACCUGGGAUGAGCCUGCAGGAAUGAGCCCCAAAGUCACUCCACAGAGCUGUAGCCAUGCUUGGAGGAAGAUGCUGCUGGGGGAGCAGUCAGGCUGCCCCCCAAGUCCACCCCACACCUGUAGAAAUCUGCACCAGUAAAAGGAUGAUUCUGCUUCAGGUGCCCUGCUAAUGUUGGGACCCUCCUCUGAUGAGGGUUAUCUUCUCCAGAUCCUGAAUCUGGAAAUGUCCGGAUCAUUUAAAAUCCCUGUUGGCUUGUAUAAAAGCAGGUGUUAUGAGUUUUCCUGGUGCCUCAGAACAGACUAGGAUGUGGUUUUCAAACCUGGGCAGAGUAUUGCUGGAGAGCACUGGCUGACUUACACAGGUCAAUCAUGUCAAGUCAUUCCACAAAGGUCAAAACUGUAACAUCUAAUUUAUCUACAAUCCACACUAGAUGUCAGUAAUGCCUUCCAAGAAAACUCAUUAUCUGUCUAAAUCAUAAAUAUGUCAAAACCAGCAUCAGCUUCUAGUAUUAUGCCAAGCAUAUUCAAGCAAGAGGAUGGAGCCUCUCUUAUGUAGAACAUUAUUCAAUCUAGCCAUCAUUUACUGAGUUUCUCUACAUAAUGCCACUCCUGGAAUAGAACCCCGGGCCUCACAGGGGUCUUCAAGAGGAGGAACUUUGCAAUCACACAGCAUGGUCAGUGGAAAGCAUUCAAUGCUUUGGAACAUCUGGGACCAGGGUGGGAACAGAGAUCCCUGAGAAUCAGGACAGAGGCCAUAAUUGUGUUUACACAAGGGUCCUGCCCACUAGUAUCUAUGGCCUAAUCAAUACCCUGCAAUUUGUCCAGAUUAAGAGUCCCUCCUCUUAAUAAGUGAUGAAGCAGGAGAUAGGCAGAGAAGACAAGAUCAUAAAGUAUUCCGAAGAGCAGAAGAGGGCUGAGAAUGCUGCCCUGUUAUCACUGCAGGGGUGGUGGCAGGGGGUGGGGGAUGGGCACCUGGGGAAAAGAAACAUCCCAUAAACUGUGAUCCUCUGGAGCCGCCCAAGUUCCUCAAAUGCAGCAACCUAAUGCAACAUCAUAAAUAAGUACUUACACAUUGCAAGCUAGUGGUACCUUGGGCAUGGUACCAAAAGUCAGAGAUUCCAGAAGCCUGGAGCAGAAAGCAUCCCCUCUAGUGGCAACACACCCUCAUCACUGUGAUAGACGAGUUCCAGGCCCUGAAGAAACUGGGAGAAAGGAUUGAGUUCAUACCCUGAAGAAAUAUGCAGCCAAAUCAGAACACGAGGUGGUCUGUAAGGAACACAAGGAACACCGCCCCCCCGCCCCCGACCCCGUGAAUGUCUCCAGGCCCUAACAGCCUAUGGGCACAAUUGGAGUGACAUUAAUGGUAAUAAUUCAGAUGGCACCAGCACGUGUCCCUACCUGCUUAGCAGAGAAUCCCCUGAAAAUAAUGAAUUCAGUGGAUAAUGAGAAAAUAGAGACAAAGGAUGACAGUCCUCCUGUUGGAAGGUCCAGGUAUUCUCAGCUAUAUCAGAGAAACACUGAGACAUAAGACAUGAGAUGACUGCUUCACCUGAGUUUGCUGCCACAUGGACACCAAUCACUGGAGCUCUGUGACUCUGACCACAGCAACUAUAUAUGAUUUCCGAGAAAGUCAGGGCACAACUGUUAAAUGAACGUUUCUGCUUAAAACAUAUGAAUUCACAAAGCUCACAAGUAACAGGGCCAGAUUCCCUCAGUAGUAUUCUUGCCUGGAGAAUCCCAUGAACAGAGGAGGCUGGCAGGCUAUCGUCCACAAGGUCGCACAGAGUCGGACAUGACUGACGCGACUUUGCAUGCACACACUACCUACAUCUCAACUUCUAGAAAGCUGGCAUGGAGUUACAUGCAUUCUCCUUAAUUGUUCUCCAGCUAUGAUACUUAGAAUACAGUUAUUUAGAAAAUUAGGAAGAAUAAGAUAGGGCACAAGUAUUCUUGUGUUCACUUCUGGUUCAGUUGGGGUUCUUUAUAUGGAAAUGUAGAUGGAGAGACUAGUGUUAGAUUUAUUUUAUUAUUUAUGUAUUUAUUUUUGUCCUGAAGGCUUUCAACCUGAAGUCCCUCCAGAGUGGAUGAGAAACUCCUUCCAGGAAAAUGAAAUCUAUGGCCUAAGAAAUAUAUGGCACUAAGCUCUAUUUAGUAAGAUAUUCCCCUGGUAGAAAGCCCAACAUUAGACAUUAUGCCCUGUUUGGAAAAAAUAACAUUCAUAUUAAAUAGUCUGCAUUUGGAAGAAAAAAGGGAUAGCAAGAAACAACAACAAAAAAAGCAGAAGUCCCGAUGAGGGUAACUUUUCUUUGCCAUGCUCAUGAUGACUGAGCAAAGUGGCUCAUGGGAAGGACAAAAUAUUUUAUUCCAUAGCAACCAAUGUAUCAGCCAGCCAGCAAUGGAACAUAGAGUGAGCGAGGAGUCCGAAACCCCUGUGUGAACUCCUGGAACAAGCGUUCUGAGGCCCUGCCAGUCUUCUUCACUUAUGGUUCGUUGGAAGAAUCCCCUUGUUUUGCUUUUAGCACUUAAUUUUGCAGACCUUUCUUUUCAUUAAUUUGUUUCAUCAAUAACUGUUCUGUGCCAGCUUUGUGCCAAGUUCUGGGCAAGCUACAAGCUGUUUCUGGCGGUCUUAAAAAAGUAAAGAAUCUCAUUUUAAUGUGGCGUGGGAGACACACUAAUUUCCUGAAAAUUUUGUUUUGGCUCUAUUUUAAAAUGUGUAGGAUUAUCAUUUCUCUCAAAGACAUAAAACUGUAGGGCUUGAUUUGUGUCUAGUUCUUACAUGGUCCCCAGGACAUUAUGUUCAGUGCAUCUUAUUAUGUGUCUCGUCUCCCUGCAAUCUGAUCUCCUUGAUGGCAGAGGUUGAGUCUUAAUCAUCUUUGUCUCCCUAGGGCUUAGCAGAGGGUCCAGGCUCCAAAACUGCUCAAAAAAAUUCUUCAAGAGAUGAAUGAACAGAAUCAGAGGAGCUUUGCUACUCUGCCUCAGAAAAAAUAUAGAUGAACACUUAAGAGAAGGUAAUUCAAUUAAGAAUCAACGGAAGAGUUGAUAUGAAAUGCUCAUUCCCCAUUAGUUGUCAGGGGAAACCUUAAUUAGGUCUGGGGUGGGUCUCAGGAAAGCAAGUAUUCAACAAACUCCCCAGGUGGUUCUCAGGAUCAGACACAUUUGGGAAAGUCUGCUCCAAAGUAAAACACAGCAAUACAGAUAUAAAAGCAGUUGAAAAACAGGGAAUAAUGCUUCAGCUAGACACCUUAUUUGUAUAGACAAUAAGCACUGACACCUAAAACACCCUUGAAAAACAUGUUACUGCUAGUAUUCAUCUACAUAGAAGUUGUGUUUCAAAGCCAGCCUUCCUCUCCACAGUGAGUGAGCUGUGGCUCUGCCCCCCGGACACCAGGCUGACAGCCCCACCUCCCGAGGUUGCAGGACCUUAGUGG